AAGUAGAGUCAUAUAAAUAACAUUGACAAAUAAAAAGCAAACAGAAACAAGACAAUCCAGAAACAAAUUCAAGUAUACAGAGAAAUUUAGCUCAGUCAACAGUACAACGAUUCUUUGUACUAGUUUUGCAACUUUUUCAUAAGUUUGGAAGAAUGAGGGAAAAAAAUUUAAAAGAGAAAUUCCAUAUAGAAAAUAAUUGAAAAUAUAGAACCAUCUAUGAUUCACUCCUAAAAAGAGAAACAAAUCCUUAAGAAAAAUGGGCAAAGGAUACUAACAGGUAAUUAGAUU